AUUGCUCUUUGACACAAAAGGUCAAAGUCAAAUGCCUUGUUACAAUGGCUCUUUGCUGACAACCCAUUUUCUAUUGAUAAGUGUUAGAAGAAAUUCCAAUUUCUAAAUUUAACAUACCCGGGUACUAUAAAACUCAUUUCCAGGCUGUCGGAAAAUUCAAAGAAAGCUGUUGUGCACAAAGAUGAAUGACCAAUCUGGUGUGAAAUCAUCUGAGGGUAAGAAGACCAAUCAGCUGGGUGUUUACAAGGGGCGGAUCAAACCAUAAAGUUUCAGGAAGAUGUUAUAACAACAGUACUGACUGCUUUAAAAGAAUGAAAAUGAAACAGAGGAUUGCAGAGUUGAUGAUAUAGGACAAAGUCAACGGGAAAACAAGAGGAAAAGGUCAAACCUUUUAGAUGCGUCUUCGAGGGACCCUGAUUCUGAUUCCAGUGACAGCGAUACAAAUGCAGAAAAAAGGUCUAGAAAAACAGAAGACAAGGGAAAAGGGACUACAAUGAAAGACUCACAAUACAGACAAAGGGUACCUAUAAUUUUAUUGAAAAUAAAUUAAAUGAACCAGACUAUGGUUAAACAAUGGUUGUAAAAAUUUCAGCGUUGAGCAAUUGUACAAAUAGUUUCAGAAAAAAGAAAUAACACAAAAAUCAAUCUUAACGUUUUAAAAAGGUUUUGUCGGUUCACCCACACACCAAAAGUUUAUACGUGAUGAAUUAAGGUGGUUUUGGACACUUCCAUGUUAUGACGUAUUAUUUAUUGAAAUUAACAAUAAAUCCAAGU